AACGAACGCUGGCGGCAGGCUUAACACAUGCAAGUCGAGCGAGACCUUCGGGUCUAGCGGCGGACGGGUGAGUAACGCGUGGGAACGUGCCCUUCUCUACGGAAUAGCCCCGGGAAACUGGGAGUAAUACCGUAUACGCCCUUUGGGGGAAAGAUUUAUCGGAGAAGGAUCGGCCCGCGUUGGAUUAGGUAGUUGGUGGGGUAAUGGCCCACCAAGCCGACGAUCCAUAGCUGGUUUGAGAGGAUGAUCAGCCACACUGGGACUGAGACACGGCCCAGACUCCUACGGGAGGCAGCAGUGGGGAAUCUUAGACAAUGGGGGCAACCCUGAUCUAGCCAUGCCGCGUGAGUGAUGAAGGCCUUAGGGUUGUAAAGCU
rnacentral:rRNA from 1 species